rnacentral:rRNA from 1 species
GAUGAACGCUGGCGGCGUGCCUAAUACAUGCAAGUCGAGCGAACGGACGAGAAGCUUGCUUCUCUGAUUUUAUCGGCGGACGGGUGAGUAACACGUGGUUAACCUACCUAUAAGACUGGGAUAACUUUGGGAAACCGUAGCUACUACCCGAUAAUUUUUUGAACCUCAUUGUUCAAGAGUUAAAGACGGUCUUUCUUUCACUUAUAGAUGGAUCCGGGCUUCAUUAGUUAGUUGGUAAGGUAACUGCUUACCAAGGCAACGAUGCAUAGCCGACCCGAGAGGGAGAUCGCCUAGACGGGAUGUGAGAAUCGUUACAGACACCUACAGGAGGCCGCAGUAGGGACUCUUACGGAAUGGGCGAAAGCCUGACGUAGCAACGUCGCGUGAGUGCUGAAGCACUAAGGAUCGGAAAGCUCUGAUAUUAGGGAAGUACAUAUGUGUAAGUACCUGUGAACAUAUUGACGGUACCGAAUCAGAAAGCCACGGCUAACUACGUG